AAACUGAGACAGGGUCAAUGGACGAUCAAUAAGACAUAUGGUCUAGGCUGGUGACUUUCAUUACGCUUUGGAGGGAUGUCUGUCUAAGGUCGGCCCAAGUGGUCAAGCCUACUUUAUAGUUUGUGGCAGUAGUGGCCAACUUCGCACGGCCCUCAA
rnacentral:snRNA from 1 species